rnacentral:rRNA from 1 species
UACGGGGGGGGCAAGCGUUGUUCGGAAUUACUGGGCGUAAAGGGCUCGUAGGUGGCCAACUAAGUCAGACGUGAAAUCCCUCGGCUUAACCAGGGAACUGCGUCUGAUACUGGAUGGCUAGAGAUUGGGAGAGGGAUGCGGAAUUCCAGGUGUAGCGGUGAAAUGCGUAGAUAUCUGGAGGAACACCGGUGGCGAAGGCGGCAUCCUGGACCAACACUGACGCUGAGGAGCGAAAGCCAGGGGAGCAAACGGG